rnacentral:lncRNA from 1 species
UACACGGAUGAUAUCAUAUAUCAACAAUUGACACAAAUACAUGUACUCCAGUAUGAUGAUAUAUGUAGUCUUGUAUCGCUGAAAAACAUCUAGAAUUAUGAGAAUCUUUCCUGCAUGUUGCUACCAGAUUGUAGUCAUCUUUUUUAUAGAAUGUUGAUAUAUAAGCGGGGUUUACCAUUAAAAUUCCAAUUCCAUGUGAAAUAUACUAUGGAUUGAUGUGCCAAAAAAAUAAGAACACAUAGGAUAUUCAUAAUAGCUGAGAAAGUAGUCUCCCACUUAUAAUAACAUCAAGGUAUUAUGGUACAUCUGCUCAAAAAAAGUAUUAUGGUACGUGUAUGUGUACUGAUUGGCCAAUUGUUUGUUGAGCUAGCAAUAUAUGAAGAGGCUGAUAUUAAAUCCAUGAAAUUUUCCAUAUGGAAAAUACUAUACAUUUGUGCAGUGGAAAUUUGAGAACAUAGCGGAUAUUCAUAAUGCGGGAAAGUAGUGUUCCCCUAAAAUAACAUGAAAGUACUAUGGUCAUGUAUGCGUAUGAAGAGGCUGAUCUCAAAUCCAUGGCAAUUUUACUGAUUCAAUAUUGAUAAAAAUAACAUUCAAAACAUUCUUGAUAAGAAUAUACUAAACCUGCAAAAAAAAUAAAAACAUAUAGUAAAAAAAAAUGGUAUCUGAAUGAACUAAGAAGAGGUGUGCUCUUAGCUAGCACAUAUGAGAAAAGGACGCAGGUCAUUAACACCAAAAAGUUUCCUUCCAAAAGCAAGCACGUUUUUUGCAAGUCUGUUAUGCUAAUCAUCUCACUCAUAGUCGCCCCAUCAUGUCCUGGAACAGGAAUGCAUCCAAUCCAAACUCCUGGGCACCCAUCGACGGCAUCCCCAAGGGACAUCCCAUUGUUGGAUUCGACUUCAAGUGUUCCCUGCUUCGGUGACGCUGUCAAAUUGUCUUGCCAUCGCCAAUCAUAGCCUGGAGCAAACCCAAUGCUUAUUACUCCCAAGUCCCAACCAUUAGUUAAGGAAACAAACAUAUGAAUCAUGAACUUUUAAUACAGAUGAGUAAGAUCUAGCGGCUGAUGGGCUCACACACUCGAGGCUGUAACUGUGUAACAUCUAGGGAGCCAGAUCCUGUAACACGUUAAGAAGGGAAGUUAAAGGCGCCCCUUCACAAAAACAAACGCUGGCGUCAUGAAAGGAAAAGGAAACAAAACAGACUUGCCCGUGAUCAGCUCUCAAGCCGACUGUCUACACCGCCAUUGAUUCGCCAACUUCGUGAGCGCUGCUGGUGCUCUGGUAGUAUGCUCGCAUGUCCGUAGGCUCUUCAUCAUGCAUCUCCCUGGUUGUUCUACGGAAAGAUGUAAGCUGUUGACUGGGUGGAAGUAGUACGGUCACCGGUGACCAUAGUGACGGGCGACCAGAUCAGUAGAGCGCCAAUAAUUCCUUACCAGUGGCAUUUUCAGCUGUACAUAUUCAUUUCCCUUGAUCUGUGCAACACAAAUACGGAAUUAACAUCUGCCUGGCGCAGGAGAAACUCGCUGGCAUGGCCUAUGGUAGGUAGAACGUUGCGUUGAGGAGAAAAAACGUAUGAGGAUGUAGCGCUAUAAAGUACUGGUGCU